UAGCCAGAGAGGAAGCGGUAGCGGCCCAUGUCGGUGGAAAAUAUGUGUCCCUCCAAGUAGGUGGCGUUUUUCGCCUACCAAGCAAUGCUUUUUUGUAUGGAGAUCAAUGAGAGUUUCGAAUUUGGUCCCAAAAAAAGGAAUGGGUUAUUUUCUACGUGAGGCUUAUUUGAUUGAAUAGACGUUUCUUAAUGCUGGUUGUUACACGAGUAAUACACGUGACAUCCCCGCAACUUUGAGAAAAACAUUUAUAUCAGAGUUGGCAUGGCGAUUUAUAUUAAUGACUGAGACUAGUAGCAUAGCAUCGCUCUCCGUUGAAUACAGCAAUGUUGCGAUUGUUUGUGAGAAUGCCAGCAGGUGUGGUUCCCGUGGGGGAAAAAUUCUAUUGGGUGAAAGUUUCCGGUGGAGGUUGCCAUGGAUGCCAAGAAGGGGAGUGAGGAACACCACAGGGGCACAAAUGUUAAAUAAAACACCCAACGUUUAAUGAAAAUCAUCAAAAAGUAUAUUGUGUGUUCAGAUGCCCUGUGUGGACAAAGUCAUGGAACUUUAUGACAAUCAGAUUAAAUUAACUACAUUUUCAGAGAGAAAACGUGUAAAUGGUCGAAUUGGACCGAUUCACAAGUUUUCUUCAAGGGUGGUGGAUUACAUCUGUCCGGCUAAUGGAGGUGCAAAUCACACAAAUAUCGCCUUCUGCCAGCUCUUCGCAUUGGACAAAAGCCUCUGAUGACCGGGGCUUCCUCCUGAGCCUUGUCCUCGAGCCUGGCACACUCUCUGCCUCCUCUCCCUUACAUUCCCCCUCCUCCCCCUCUGCUCCAGGCUCUGCCGUCCAUGACCUGCAGUCCAAGGUGAAGGCACUCUCCCAGAAAUCCAGCGGGAGAUAGAGAAAGAGCGAGUGGGAGGACAAGAGGGCCUUAGAGCUCCAGGCAGGGGGGCCUGUCUCGUCCCAGGCAGAAGGCCCGCAGUAGGGGGAGGUGCCACUGCCCGUGCCCUCCCGGUGCUUUGACCAAAGGAGGAGGUCCAGCAGUAGUGAAGACGAUGUGGUGCAGAAGAUGGUGGCCAGGGUACAGCUCAACACCUACCUGACUGAACCACAGAGGGAGCAGGAGAGCAGGGGUACCAUGGGGAAGGGGGCAGAGAAGGGGGAGAGGGGAGGCCUGGCUGGAUGUGUGCCAGGGCAGCCUCGUGGGUUCGGGGAGGGGGCCAGCUUGGAGAGCUUGGACAACAUCCAGUCGGACAGCACCGGCGGAAAGAUGGAGGACCCCCCUCCUUCUCCAAAACCUGCUUCUUCGUCCUCCUCUGCCUCAUCUUCCUCCUCAUCUCCCUCCUCUCACAGACACUGGGCACCCCCUAAAGGCUUCUGCAGGGUGGCACGCUCAGAGACUCUGAACGGAGUAGCCACUCAGUCUACCGUAGGCACUCAGACUACGAUGCCCAUAGCCUCGUCAUUUGUAUCUCUGAAGGACAAACCCCCUGUUAAUGCCACCCUCUCAAGGACAAGGACAAGGGCUGUUGGGACAUGCUAUGUUCGGACAGCCUGCACUGCUACCCGGAGAGGGGAAGAGAAAGGUGCCGUGGACAUCCUGUACCUGUGUGUCGACCAGAUAGACAACAGAGAUGGCAUGAUCAUGAAGUUCCAGUGAAGAUAUGAAAUGUUGGUACGCCUUGUUGUAAGACAAGUCUGGGUACUUGGAGAAGUUAACUGAAAAAGAUAGAUACUAAAUUCCCCUUGCUGACCGCUCAUGGUUGAAGAACAUGGUACAUGGUAGCACGUGUGCUGUGGGACAGAGUGUUCAUCAAGAGUGUGGGAGUGUCUCUAGAGACAUCUGCCUUUGCGGGACCAUGAGUGGGAUUCAGCCAUUCUACAACAAGUGCUGCCCCGCUCAAAGACAACCCUGAUCCCAAAUCAUCCCAAGAAACUAUUCAAGUAUCCCACAGGGUGAUUGCGCCCUCUCCUGGCAAUGAUUGGUCACACGUCAACCCUGACAAAAUUCCCCUGAGCCCCAGACACGAGUGGGCCAUGCUACUGCUGGAGAAGGCUUGGUUAAAAGCACACUUCAAUCACGCCAAAGGGGAACGCCCCCCAACCCGCCGUGCCCAUUCUGCCCAGAUAUAUAACCCGUAAGCCAGCUGUGCCCUGCUGUCAAUCAACUGUAUUUGUUCCUUUGUCGAUCUCUAUCAACACCCUCUUCUGUUCACCUGUCUGACUACCUGUAUCUUUUGAGAAGUGUAACUUGUUCCAAAAAACCCUUUUGAUUUAUUUCACAAAAUGUUUACAUUCUGUCAUAAAGAGCACAUGUUUAACAUAAUAAAAAAACAUGCUUUCCC